rnacentral:ncRNA from 1 species
AGGAGCCGUGCGAGAUGAAAGUCUCAUGCACGGUUUUGAAUGAGAGAAAGAAGUCUCAUGCACGGUGUUGAAUGAGAGAAAGAAGUGAGGAAUCCUCUUUUCGACUCUGAC